AGUGAACGCUGGCGGUAGGCCUAACACAUGCAAGUCGAACGGCAGCACAGUAAGAGCUUGCUCUUACGGGUGGCGAGUGGCGGACGGGUGAGGAAUACAUCGGAAUCUACUUUUUCGUGGGGGAUAACGUAGGGAAACUUACGCUAAUACCGCAUACGACCUACGGGUGAAAGCAGGGGAUCUUCGGACCUUGCGCGAUUGAAUGAGCCGAUGUCGGAUUAGCUAGUUGGCGGGGUAAAGGCCCACCAAGGCGACGAUCCGUAGCUGGUCUGAGAGGAUGAUCAGCCACACGGGAACUGAGAACCGGUCCAGACUCCUCGGGGAGGCAGCAGUGGGGAAUAUUGGAAAAUGGGCGCAAGCCUGAUCCAGCCAUACCGGGGGGGGGAAGAAGGCCUUCGGGUUGAAAAGCCCUUUUGUUGGGAAAAAAAAGCAGCAGGUUAAUACCCCGCUGUUCUGGCGGUACCAAAAGAAUAAGCACCGGAUAACUUCGU
rnacentral:rRNA from 1 species